rnacentral:rRNA from 1 species
UACAGAGGGUGCGAGCGUUGUUCGGAAUUAUUGGGCGUAAAGCGCGUGUAGGCGGCUUAGCAAGUCGGGCGUGAAAGCCCUCGGCUCAACCGAGGAAGUGCACCCGAAACUGCUGAGCUUGAGUGCCGGAGAGGAUGGCGGAAUUCCCCAAGUAGAGGUGAAAUUCGUAGAUAUGGGGAGGAACACCGGUGGCGAAGGCGGCCAUCUGGACGGUAACUGACGCUGAGACGCGAAAGCGUGGGUAGCAAACAGG